GAUGAACGCUGGCGGCGUGCCUAAUACAUGCAAGUCGAACGCGAGAGGAGGGAGCUUGCUCCCUCUGAUCGAGUGGCGGACGGGUGAGUAACACGUAGGCAACCUGCCCAUCAGCCGGGGAUAACUGCGGGAAACCGUGGCUAAUACCGGAUAAUCCUGUCCACCGCGGGGUGGGGAGUUGAAAGAAGGUGUCGGCUGGCGCUGAUGGAUGGCCCUGCGGCGCAUUAGCUGUUUGGCGGGGUACCGGCCCACCAAGGCAACGAUGCGUAGCCGACCUGAGAGGGUGAUCGGCCACACUGGAACGGAUACACGGCCCAGACUCCUACGGGAGGCAGCAGUAGGGAAUCUUCCGCAAUGGACGCAAGUCUGACGGAGCAACGCCGCGUGAGUGAAGAAGGGUUUCGGCUCGUAAAACUCUGUUGUUAAGGAAGAACGCCAGGUAGAGUAACUGCUACCUGUGUGACGGUACUUAACCAGAAAGCCACGGCUAACUACGUGCCAGCAGCCGCCGUAA
rnacentral:rRNA from 1 species